UUUUUGGAAUACUAUCUGUUUAGCUACAACUUACAAUUGGUAUGAGAUACAAUCCAUCACCUGGUAAAUAGCAACAGAAACCUUACAGUUUGAUGCUUUUAUAAUAUAAUGGUGCUAUUAACCGUACAGGAAGAGAGAUACGAAACGAACACACCAUUUAUUAAUAGCAAUGAUCCUGUUUCACAAAAGGAAAAUCCGGGAACAUCUAACUACAUAGCAUACCGACACCCUCUUCAAUUCUCAGCUGCUCUGAAGAUCGACAGUAACGAGAGGAAAAGGUUGAUGAUGUCCAAAUAUAAGGCAACGGAUGCCCAUAUGUACUCGUCGUAUGAGUAUCUUUUUAUGAGAUUGUCUGUGUCAUAGACAAUGUAUCCACAGAAAAUGAUGGACGCUAGACACCCAUAAACCAUCAUAGAAGUCCGACCCAAUGGAAAGAAGGCCUGAAUCAGACCAAAUAUCAGGAGGACAAUCAGAGCACCAAAUAGAAAUGGACCAAGGAAGCUGAAAUCAUGGCCUCUUUUCGCAGCCCAAAAUGUGUACAGAGUGAGACUCACCACAACCACAGCAGUCAGAACUGCAGCCUCAAGAAUAACUUUCCCGCUUGUAUAAGCGCAAGUCAACCCAAUUGCGAACGCAAAAGAUAUCGUGAAAAUACCCAAAAGAAAGAAAUUGACAGGGUGCUUCUGAUAGUAAUAAGAGAGUGGUAUCAUCGUUAUAAUCGGCGUAAGAAUGAGAAUGAUGUAUAUGGCCAGGCCUGCCCCUGUAGUGUUAAAGAAGGUAGAAAUUGGUCGAACAUAAACAACAGUAGCGGCGACGGCAAUGGUGGCGAGCAGUUGGAUAGUAAUGAUAGAGUAAAUCUUCCGAAUGAAGGCCCAUCGGAGCUGUGGGCUCUCCAGCAUCGUCGGAUACAGCGGCGUUGUUCCGCCCUCGACAUCGUACUUCCGCUGAUGAUUCCACAUCCUUCAAACGCAAAUUACAAGAAGAAGAAAAACAAAGAAACAAAGCUUCAAUCAAAAGUGUUUGGCGGUGAAGAAAAUGGUCCAAAAAGUUUUAACAGGACGAAUGGAUUCCCAAAUUCGAGUUUCGGCUGGAUUAGUGCUGAGCUUAUAAAAUGGAGAGAUUCCGGUGGACGGAGACUUCUCGAUUCAUCGCGUCUAAGCCAGAAAGCCCUUUUGCUUA
rnacentral:misc_RNA from 1 species